rnacentral:pre_miRNA from 1 species
AUAAUACUUUCCCCGUCCCAUAUUAAGUGACUUUCUAUUACAUGUAUGUAGACUCCUUUUAGCUAUAGAUACAUUCAUAUUUGGACAAAUUUGAAUCACUUAAUAUGGGACGGAGGGAGUAUAUG